rnacentral:rRNA from 1 species
GCAUGGGGGAACCCUGAUGCAGCGACGCCGCGUGGAGGAAGAAGGUCUUCCGAUUGUAAACUCCUGUUGUUGAGGAAGAUAAUGACGGUACUCAACAAGGAAGUGACGGCUAACUACGUGCCAGCAGCCGCGGUAAAACGUAGGUCACAAGCGUUGUCCGGAAUUACUGGGUGUAAAGGGAGCGCAGGCGGGAGAACAAGUUGGAAGUGAAAUCCAUGGGCUCAACCCAUGAACUGCUUUCAAAACUGUUUUUCUUGAGUAGUGUAGAGGUAGGCGGAAUUCCCGGUGUAGCGGUGGAAUGCGUAGAUAUCGGGAGGAACACCAGUGGCGAAGGCGGCCUACUGGGCACCAACUGACGCUGAGGCUCGAAAGUGUGGGUAGCAAACAGGAUUAGAUACCCUGGUAGUCCAAGGGCGAAUUC